GACGCCACACCAGAUCCCCUCGCCGUUGCCCUCGCCCUCGCAGCCGCCGCCGAUCCCCUCUCCCAUCUUCCUCCCUCAAACGCUAACCCGUCUCGCGGUGCGCCACCGCCCGCCGCGGCCGCCCCCGCCACCUCCCGCCGCGGCCGCCGCCCCAGCUCCAGCCGUGGCCGUCGCGCCCAGAUCCAGCCGCGGCCGCUGCCCUGCGUGCCAACGACCCCUUCCCCCGCCGCCGCGCCACAGGUGCCGCCAUGGCCGCGUCAUGGAGCUCGCCGCCAUGGGCUGCGUGCCCCUCCGAUGAUGGCCUGCCUCGCCCACGUCCAGAUCUACAAGAGAUCAAGAAGGGUGAUGUUCUGGAUGCUGAUCUCGACUAAUAGUUGCCGGAUGAACUAUGCAAUGACAACAUGAAUGAGCUUUGUGUGCAGUUCACAUUUACCUGGUGGACCAUCACCAACCGGAUGGAGGUGAAGCAAGUGGGCAAGUCAGGGAAAUGCUCGGAAGGCUAUCGAGAAGAUCAACGAUCUUAACCCCACGAUCCUAAUUUCAGUUUGUACCUCGUUGUUGGGCUGUCAGAAAAGUUUGGAGCAGGAGCAAUGAUAUGACAAUUGUGGCUAACUUUCUUGUCAUUAGUCAUAUAUGUGCUAAUGGACCUUCCGGGUUCUCCAUUAUGUUUACCGGCCGGUUUCUCAUCUGAAAAAUACCCCAUAGCAUAGUGGACAAUGCUUUUUUUGGUCAGAAGUAGUAUUUCUACAUGAAACUAAGUUAUAUAUGCGUAUGAGAAAUGUGGCUUAUCUUUUGAUAAUGCUUUUUUUGUUAGAAGUUGUUUUUCUACAUGAAAUUAAGGUAUAUAUGCGUAUGAGAAAUUAUAUCUUUGCUUAACUCAAAAAAUUGUAUUUGCUCCUUUUAGCGGGAGCCUGGAGGUGAUACGGUUUGUACAUCAUGGUUUGAAUAAGAUAUUGUUUGUAUACUGUUGAGUGAAGUAUUGUAUAACUACUGUAAAGUGGGUGUAGGUUUUUAUUGUGCAUUUUUCACAGAGGUUUGGGCGUUUGGACACAACCAUAUGUACAAGUUGAAGCCUUCAUUUGCAAGCAUUUCUUUAGGAAACAGAGAAAAUCACAGCAACUAUUUGAUGUUUCUCGACGCUUGAAGACAACAAGUGAAGUUGUUGCUACCAUCUUACAAGCCAAAGUCAUGAGAAAGCCGGGUGUUAAAAUGUUGGGAGAUUACAAAGUUCAUGCUCUAUUCACACAUGGUGGAGGCAACCCAACAAGUUGUUGUGGGAGCCAGCAGAGAAAGGAGUCGAGGAACCCGCAUCAUGGGAGAGUCAUCGAGGGGCAUCCGGAUAAAGCCUAUAUACUGGAUGAGAUUCUCAUUGCCGGCAUUUUUCAUGAACCUAUCAAGGAGAACAUUUCAAUACUAAUUGCAGCACAUGUUUUCUCACCACCGGCUAGCAAGAAGAGAGUAUGAUUUUCUAAUGCUCAGUGUUGUAAGCUUGAUUCACGAGGAGCUUCUCAAUGUUGUACAUGUUGUUUGUGAGUAACAGAAAUAAAUCAUUUCCUGGAAUCAGACGCUAUAUUUUCUGUGGGAAUUAAACCAUUUCCUGGAAUCAGACGCUAUAUUUUCUGUGGGAAUUCGUUGACACAGUUCCUUACAACACUGAGAAUCUUUGAAGUGGGCAAACCGCUCUAUGUAAUUCUAUCACCCAUUCUGAUUUUGAGACAAGUAUAUCAGUUAUCUUUUUCCUUCUAGCAAGGCUAUCUGGAAUGAUUGCAUGUAUUAAUGAAGUAGUCCACGUUAGGUGGAUUGGCUCAAAAUGGAGAAGCAUGAUUGUAUUAAGCAUUUAAGCUCUAAGCAAUUUAGAAUGUCAAUGUCUUGGGGCUCCCUUGCAAUAUUUCAGAGAACUAUAUUUUUCCAGACAUUUUAUAUUGCCUCAUGAUAUUUGGGGGAUCUGAUUAGGUAUUGUUUCUCUAUA